UACGGGGGAGCAAGCGUUGUUCGGAUUUACUGGGCGUAAAGGGCGCGUAGGCGGCCACGCACGUCCGUUGUGAAAUCGCCCGGCUCAACUGGGCGGGGUCAGCGGAUACGGUGUGGCUAGAGCAAGCUAGGGGGCAAUGGAAUUCCCGGUGUAGUGGUGGAAUGCGUAGAUAUCGGGAGGAACACCAGUGGCGAAGGCGGUUGCCUGGAGCUUUGCUGACGCUGAUGACGCGAAGCGGUGGGAGCGAUCCGG
rnacentral:rRNA from 1 species